AGGCUGGGAGAAAAAGGCAGGGUCUGAUCCACAGCCUCAGUGACAGCUGUUGAUCAGCCAUUGCCUCUUUCUUUCUCUCUG
rfam:Myotis davidii contig66901, whole genome shotgun sequence.